CCUACGGGAUGCUGCAGUGAGGAAUAUUGGUCAAUGGACGAGAGUCUGAACCAGCCAAGUAGCGUGAAGGAUGACUGCCCUAUGGGUUGUAAACUUCUUUUAUAUGGGAAUAAAAUGUUCCACGUGUGGGAUUUUGUAUGUACCAUAUGAAUAAGGAUCGGCUAACUCCGUGCCAGCAGCCGCGGUAAUACGGAGGAUCCGAGCGUUAUCCGGAUUUAUUGGGUUUAAAGGGAGCGUAGGUGGAUUGUUAAGUCAGUUGUGAAAGUUUGCGGCUCAACCGUAAAAUUGCAGUUGAAACUGGCAGUCUUGAGUACAGUAGAGGUGGGCGGAAUUCGUAGUGUAGCGGUGAAAUGCUUAGAUAUCACGAAGAACUCCGAUUGCGAAGGCAGUUCACUGGACUGCAACUGACACUGAGGCUCGAAAGUGUGGGUAUCAAACAGGAUUAGAUACCCUUGUAGUC
rnacentral:rRNA from 1 species